rnacentral:SRP_RNA from 1 species
CUGUGCUAGAUGGGAAGCUAGCGGUUUCCUGUAACCUGAAACCCGCUUAUGCAGGGUCGAAAAUCGCAGGGCGGGCUUUGCUGAGAUGGUCAGAUGCAGUAAGUGGUGUUGAGGCUUUCAGCUCUACGCAAUGUUUAAAUGUUUAACCCCGUCAGAUCCGGAAGGAAGCAGCGGUAGAUGUUUUUUGCAUGUGCCGUAGAUCCCUGGGGCUGAGCCGGCUGCUGUAAAUGUCCUUCGUCCAGGAGGUUCAACCUGCGGUGCACAG